rnacentral:rRNA from 1 species
GAUGAACGCUGGCGGCGUGCCUAAUACAUGCAAGUCGAGCGAACAGACGAGGAGCUUGCUCCUCUGACGUUAGUGGCGGACGGGUGAGUAACACGUGGAUAACCUACCUAUAAGACUGGGAUAACUUCGGGAAACCGGAGCUAAUACCGGAUAACAUGUUGAACCGCAUGGUUCAACAGUGAAAGACGGUUUUGCUGUCACUUAUAGAUGGAUCCGCGUCGCAUUAGCUAGUUGGUAAGGUAACGGCUUACCAAGGCAACGAUGCGUAGCCGACCUGAGAGGGUGAUCGGCCACACUGGAACUGAGACACGGUCCAGACUCCUACGGGAGGCAGCAGUAGGGAAUCUUCCGCAAUGGGCGAAAGCCUGACGGAGCAACGCCGCGUGAGUGAAGAAGGUCUUCGGAUCGUAAAACUCUGUUAUUAGGGAAGAACAAAUGUGUAAGUAACUAUGCACGUCUUGACGGUACCUAAUCAGAAAGCCACGGCUAACUACGUG